CCGAGUUCAUGCCCUAACGGGUAGAUCUCCCACCCUAUGUCAUUAUUACCUUUGUUGCUUUGGCGGGCCGUCAGAUCUCGGUCAGGCUACCGGCUUCGGCUGGUGAGUGUCCGCCAGAGGACCCCAAACUCUGAAUAUAAAUGUCGUCUGAGUACUAUAUAAUAGUUA
rnacentral:misc_RNA from 1 species